CAAUAUCCGAUCAACGCGAUUUUUUAUAGACAUAUAGUACUCUACGAGUUCUACAUAUUGAACGGUUCAGAUUAUUAAAAUGGGACCCGUGAUGGCCUCCACGGGCCGAACAAAAUCGUCUAUUGCAAUACCUGAAAAGUAGCCAAUAAUUUCUUAUACCUCUCCAAUCUUCUUUACACACUUCUUUAUAUAAUAAAAACUUAAAAAAUUAACCCAAACAUCCAUAUUUUUUCCCUCACCUUUUUAAUUCAAAAAAAUAAAAGAUAUACUUAUUUAGGAACCAAACAAUCCCUUACUAUUUAAUAGAUUAUUCACAUAGGUCGGAUCUUGGAAAUCCGGAGUGUGACAGUUGAUUACAAGCAACCUCACUCCUCUCACACUCCCAUUGUGUGGCACUCACCAGCGCCAUCACUGUCAACGCCACCAUCCUCGCUUCUCCACCGUCAGUGGUGCUAUCUUCAUUUCUCCACUAUCAACUCCCGCCUUCAUUGUUUUACAUAUGUGCUUUGAAUUGGAGCAAAGGAGCAUCGUCAGAAAUUUGUUACUUCUAUGGGCAACAGUUGUGCUGAUGGUAAAGGAUUAGAAAAUGACUUUUGAACAUAGUUGUUGCUUUAUAUGAUAUUUUUAUUUUUUGUUCUUUCCUUGGCUUUCGUUGGAAAUCUCAAAACUCUCGUCUUUGGAAAGUGCUGGCAUAUGAUUGGGCGUGCCUUUUUGUGGCAACCUAGUUGGGAUGGAGAGGUUUUGCUAUGAUGCUUUGUACAUUUUCCAUGUUAUUUAUGUAUUCUCUUCUGUGUUUUGUGCCUUCGGUUUGCAUCAAUAAAAUCUCUCUUUUGUUGUUCUAAAAAAAAAAAAAAAGUCAUAUCCCAAACAUU